UUCCCCAGGAAUCUUUCCUGCAACACAAAUUAAUAGUAUUAGUAUUAGUUUAAAAAAAACGCAUCUUUAAAAUAUUUAAAAAUAUGCUGCUUUAUCUGUUCUCCUCCUCCAUAUGCACCACAUUAUUACCCAGGACACUUCAAGUCUUAGGUCCAUUUCAAGGCAGAAUAUUAAAGGAAGAGGGAAAGCAAGGUGAAUUAAGUCAAUCCAAAUAGGCGCUGAGGGUCAUGUGACACCAAGAGAGAAAAAGCACAGCUCUGAAGACUUGGGCAAGUCAUUCUACUUCUAGACCUCAGGUUCUUCAUCUGUGAACCACUAAGCUUCCUUCACCUAAGAUAAUAUGGUUGUGGUGUUAUAAACUAACUGAAACUUCAGCUAGUUUUGUGUA